rnacentral:rRNA from 1 species
GACGGGGGGAUGCAAGUGUUAUCCGGAAUCACGUGGGCGUAAAGCGUCUGCAGGUGGUUUCCUAAGUCCACUGUUAAACCUUGAGGCUCAACCUCAAAUCUGCAUUGGAAACUAGGAGACUUGAGUAUAGUAGGGGUAGAGGGAAUUUCCAGUGGAGCGGUGAAAUGCGUAGAUAUUGGAAAGAACACCGAUGGCGAAGGCACUCUACUGGGCUAUUACUGACACUCAGAGACGAAAGCUAGGGGAGCAAAUGGG